UACGUAGGGGGCUAGCGUUGUCCGGAAUCAUUGGGCGUAAAGAGCGUGUAGGCGGCCCGGUAAGUCCGCUGUAAAAGUCAAAGGCUCAACCUUUGAAUGUCAGUGGAUACUGCCGGGCUAGAGUCCGGAAGAGGCGAGUGGAACUCCUGGUGUAGCGGUGGAAUGCGCAGAUAUCAGGAAGAACACCAACGGCGAAGGCAGCUCGCUAGGACGGUACUGACGCUGAGGCGCGAAAGCCAGGGGAGCGAACGGG
rnacentral:rRNA from 1 species